CUCUCUCACAAAACCAUCAGAUCUUCUCUCUCACUUCUCUCUCUCUCUCUCUCUCUCUCGGGGCAACUCAAGAAACCCUUGCCAGAUCUAUCACCAGAUCCGUUUCAUGAGCAGAUCUGUGAGGAUUCCACCGCCUAUUCCCCUCCGCCUUGUUACGCUGCUUCAAUCGCGGCUUCUCCUUCAUUCCAGGGCUUUGCUGAUUUCAGGCAAUCUAGGGUUUUGUAAGUGGAGAUUCUGGCGAUAUAGGGAUUAAACAAGCUUUAUUUGGCAACUUGAUGUCGAAGGCACCAAGGGAUCCACAGAUUUGAGCAAGGGAUCCACAGAUUUGCUGGAGAAUGGAGAUCCAGAAAAAAGGUUAUGCAAAUCAAAGCUGUGAAGCCUAAGAGAAGGGUUAAGAUGGUGAGAACCUGCAAAUCAUAUUUGUCGUAUGGCCAACAGGGUUCUACUAUUGCUGGCUAUGUCAUCUAGAAAUGAACCUGCUAUGUCAGCGAAUAUUCUUAAUAAAGCUGGUUAGUUAUUUGGUCUAUAUCUGUCAUGGGAGUCCUGUAUGUGUCUAACAUCUUAUGUUUGUUUCUGUUAGCUUCUUGUUUGACUAGAAUUAUAAUUUCAUAUUUGACCUUGUUGGUAAUGCCAGGUACUUUUUUGGUUUUUGAGAAGGAGUAGAAAAUUAAAGAAGGCCUCUAUAUGAUGGGACAGAAGGAUGAGAUAUUUCAUAUUUCUUGGUUUAUUACUUACGCUAUACAGUUUGCGAUCACAGCAGCAAUCAUCACUGUGUGCACGAUGGGCACACUGUUUCAGCACAGUGAUAAAACAUCGGUGUUCGUCUAUUUCCUCUGUUUGGGCUCAGUGCCAUAAUGAUAUCGUUCCCGAUCUCUACUUUCUUCAUACGAGCAAAAUCGGCAGUUGGAACUCUUGCUUUUCUUGGAGCCUUUUUUCCUUAUUAUAUGGUCAAUGACGAAGCUGUUUCUAUGGUUUUAAAGAUAUUGGCUUCUUUGCUUUCGCCUACAACAUUUGCUUUAGGAUCAGUCAAUUUUGUUGAUUAUGAGCGUGCCCAUGUUGGACUCCAUUGGAGCAACAUUUGGCGAGCAUCUUCUGGAGUGUGCUUUUUAAUAUGUCUAGCUAUGAUGGUUCUGGACUCUUUGUUGUAUUUUGCAAUUGGCCUGUAUCUAGACAAGAUUCUCCACAAGGAGAGCGGGUGGUGUACCCAUGGAACUAAAUCUUCCCGAAAGGCUUUUGGAGUAAGAUAAAUAUAUUAAAACUCUUUGCUUCCAGUUCAGAAGUUAACAGUGACAAUCAUUCCAAAGAAAAGAGCACAUCUUCUCAGUCAACAAUGGAAGCAAUAAGCUUAGAUAUGAAGCAGCAAGAGUUGGAUGGCAGUGGGGAUGAAUAUGAUGGGCAUGGAUGGUGGAGGGGGGUUAGAUGGAGGAGACGAUGACAGUGGUGACGAUUUGGUGAUUGUUACGAGUGACGUUGAUAUGAAUAAUCAUGUGCUGAUGGAUGAGAUGCAAGAUUGGGGAGAAGAUGCUGGCCAGGGUGGUGAAGGAGAGAGGAAGGAUUUGUUGGGUGGUGAUGCUGGGAAAGGUGAGGGUGGAGGUGCGGUUGCGCAGAAGAUGGGAUACGGCGCCGGUCAUGGGUAUCAUCCGUUUCAUUCUCAGUUCAAGUUUGUGAGACCUGGUGCUGCACCUAUGCUUGGAGCGAGUCCUGUAGCAACUGGUGGAGCCCUGGGUCAAGUUCGUCUACCUGGAAGUAUGUUAUCUUUUGCUGGUCGAGGUAGAGGUGAAUGGCAUCCAGCUGGCGCAAAAAAAAAACGUUCCUCCUAAUAUGCAGAAAAACUUUCAUCCGGGUUGGAACAACAAUGGAGUGGGUCGUGGAUUUGGCAGUGGACUAGAUUUCACCCUUCCAUCACACAAGUAAUGACCGUACAUCACUAUAUCUCAAGUAGUGCGACCACCCACCAGUUUUGACAUGUGAAACGAAUAGGUUAUAGUAUCAAAUGUUAAUUUUAUUUUAUGUGUGAACCCCGCUGGGUACUCGCAACUGAAGCUAAAAUAUUAGAAAAAGAUUGUUUUAUGUCUACUUUAUGGUGCUUGUUGAAACAGGGUAGGCUAGCAAACUUUUCUCUUCAUUUAUAUUACUUUUUUUUAAUCU